rnacentral:rRNA from 1 species
CCUACGGGAGGCAGCAGUGAGGAAUAUUGGUCAAUGGACGAGAGUCUGAACCAGCCAAGUAGCGUGAAGGAUGACUGCCCUAUGGGUUGUAAACUUCUUUUAUAAAGGAAUAAAACGAGGCACGUGUGCCUUUUUGCAUGUACUUUAUGAAUAAGGAUCGGCUAACUCCGUGCCAGCAGCCGCGGUAAUACGGAGGAUCCGAGCGUUAUCCGGAUUUAUUGGGUGUAAAGGGAGCGUAAAUGGGUUGGUAAGUUCGUUGUGAAAGGUUGCGGCUCAACCGUAAAAUUGCAAUUGAGACUGGCAGUCUUGAGGACAGGUGAGGUAGGCGGAAUGCGUGGUGUAGCGGUGAAAUGCUUAGAUAUCACGAAGAACCCCGAUUGCGAAGGCAGCUUACUAAACUGUGACUGACAUUGAUGCUCGAAAGUGUGGGUAUCAAACAGGAUUAGAUACCCGAGGAGUC